rnacentral:rRNA from 1 species
GUUUCGGGCGCGGUGCCGGUCUAAGUCUCUUGGAACAGGGCGUCAGAGAGGGUGAGAAUCCCGUACGUGACCGGCGACCAACCCCAUGUGAAACCCCUUCGACGAGUCGAGUUGUUUGGGAAUGCAGCUCAAAAUGGGUGGUAAAUUUCAUCUAAAGCUAAAUACCGGCUGGAGACCGAUAGCGCACAAGUAGAGUGAUCGAAAGAUGAAAAGCACUUUGGAAAGAGAGUUAAAAAGUACGUGAAAUUGUUGAAAGGGAAGCGCUUGCAACCAGACUUGUCCCCGGGCGAUCAGCGGCUGUUCUCAGCCGUGCACUCGUCCGUGAUCAGGCCAGCAUCGGUUUGGGCGGUCGGAUAAAGGCCGCGGGAAUGUAGCUUCCUUCGGGGAGUCUUAUAGCCCGCGGUGCAAUGCGGCCAGCCCGGACCGAGGACCGCGCUUCGGCUAGGAUGCUGGCGUAAUGGUUGUAAGCGACCCGUCUUGAAACACGGACCAAGGAGUCUAACAUCUAUGCGAGUGUUUGGGCGUCAAACCCAUGCGCGUAAUGAAAGUGAACGGAGGUGGGAACCCUUAAGGGCGCACCAUCGACCGAUCCAGAUGUCUUCGGAUGGAUUUGAGUACGAGCAUAGCUGUUGGGACCCGAAAGAUGGUGAACUAUGCCUGAAUAGGGUGAAGCCAGAGGAAACUCUGGUGGAGGCUCGCAGCGGUUCUGACGUGCAAAUCGAUCGUCAAAUUUGGGUAUAGGGGCGAAAGACUAAUCGAACCAUCU